rnacentral:rRNA from 1 species
CCUGACUGCUAUCGGAUUGAUACUAAGCCAUGCGAGUCAUUGUAGUAAUACAAGGCAGACGGCUCAGUAACGCGUAGUCAACCUACCCUAUGGACGGGAAUAACCUCGGGAAACUGAGAAUAAUGCCCGAUAGAACAUUAUGCCUGGAAUGGUUUAUGUUCCAAAUGAUUAUCGCCGUAGGAUGGGACUGCGUCCUAUCAGUUUGUUGGUGAGGUAAUGGCCCACCAAGACUAUUACAGGUACGGGCUCUGAGAGGAGUGGCCCGGAGAUGGGUACUGAGACACGGACCCAGGCCCUAUGGGGCGCAGCAGGCGAGAAAACUUUGCAAUGUGCGAAAGCACGACAAGGUUAAUCCGAGUGGUUUCUGCUAAAGGAACCUUUUGUCGGUCCUAGAAACACCGAUGAAUAAGGGGUGGGCAAGUUCUGGUGUCAGCCGCCGCGGUAAAACCAGCACCUCAAGUUGUCAGGAUGAUUAUUGGGCCUAAAGCAUCCGUAGCCGGCUCUGUUAGUUUUCGGUUAAAUCUAUACGCUCAACGUAUAGGCUGCCGGGAAUACUGCAGAGCUAGGGAGUGGGAGAGGUAGACGGUACUCGGUAGGAAGGGGUAAAAUCCUUUGAUCUAUUGAUGACCACCUGUGGCGAAGGCGGUCUACCAGAACACGUCCGACGGUGAGGGAUGGAAGCUGGGGGAGCAAACCGGAUUAGAUACCCGGGUAGUCCCAGCUGUAACUAUGCAAACUCAGUGAUGCAUUGGCU